rnacentral:rRNA from 1 species
GACGAACCGUGCGAACGUUGUUCGGAAUCACUGGGCUUAAAGGGCGCGUAGGCGGGCGGUCAAGUCAGAGGUGAAAUCCCACGGCUCAACCGUGGAAGCGCCCCUGAUACUGAUCGUCUCGAGGGAGGUAGGGGCGUGCGGAACUUCCGGUGGAGCGGUGAAAUGCGUAGAUAUCGGAAGGAACACCGGUGGCGAAAGCGGCGCGCUGGACCUUUACUGACGCUGAGGCGCGAAAGCCAGGGGAGCAAACGGG